UAGGAGCUGGGGAGCCCUUCUGCGCCACAGGUAUUUGCUGUUUUUCCUGCAGCUCAGUCGAGGGAUAACUCAGCUGAUCUCUAUUUCUUGAUUCUUUACUUCCGAUUGGCCAACCAAGACUUUUAUUUGGCAAACUCUGUCGUACAGAACGUGACAUCAUCUAUGACCCAUAACAAGAGCACGUGUUUUCAAGUGUCAGUUAGAUUUGUGGAUCAAUAAAGUUUUCUUGAAAGGUGGUCACUCUUGGU
rnacentral:lncRNA from 1 species